CAAAGGAGCAAUCCGCUGAAAGAUGGGCUCGCGUCCGAUUAGGUAGUUGGCGGGGCAACGGCCCACCAAGCCGACGAUCGGUAGCCGGACUGAGAGGUUGAACGGCCACAUUGGGACUGAGACACGGCCCAGACUCCUACGGGAGGCAGCAGUGAGGGAUAUUGGUCAAUGGGGGAAACCCUGAACCAGCAACGCCGCGUGAGGGAAGACGGUUUUCGGAUUGUAAACCUCUGUCCUCUGUGAAGAUGAUGACGGUAGCAGAGGAGGAAGCUCCGGCUAACUACGUGCCAGCAGCCGCGGUAAUACGUAGGGAGCAAGCGUUGUCCGGAUUUACUGGGUGUAAAGGGUGCGUAGGCGGCUUUGCAAGUCAGAAGUGAAAUCCAUGGGCUCAACCCAUGAACUGCUUUUGAAACUGCAGAGCUUGAGUGGAGUAGAGGUAGGCGGAAUUCCCGGUGUAGCGGUGAAAUGCGUAGAGAUCGGGAGGAACACCAGUGGCGAAGGCGGCCUGCUGGGCUCUAACUGACGCUGAGGCACGAAAGCGUGGGUAGCAAACAGGAUUAGAUGCCCUGGUAGUCCACGCUGUAAACGAUGAUUACUAGGUGUGGGUGGACUGACCCCAUCC
rnacentral:rRNA from 1 species